ensembl:lncRNA
CGCCGCCCUUGAUUCACCACAUGGUUCCCAACAGGACGCCUUGGCGCCACUUUCCUCAUCCUUCAAUGGUUUUUAAUGUGAUUCUCGACAGGAUCGGACUCUACAUGAUGUUUCGGGUCAUAGAUUUGCCUUUAGGUAAAGUUUGGGGUUGUAUUCGUGUAGUAUUUGAGUGUAUUCGUGGUCGGAUCGCAUGAUGGUGGAGAUCUGUGGACACCCAUGAGCAAAACCUGAGGUGGAGGGUCAUCAUCGGAGACAGCUGAAGACUGCUACUGCCUGGGUAUUGCCAAAGUGCUUACAGUGCAGGUCUCCUGCCGCCGGGAGAACUUCGCUACUCUGCUCAGUUUUGCUGGUUUGCAUUCCGCUGGAGAUUGCGUUGGUGUGCAAAUCCAUGCAAAACUGAGCAGGUUGGAGGUGUCCAGCUAAAUAACUUAGGAUGUCAAACGGUCAGUGACUCAUGAUGUCACUCAGUCACGGGUCAUGAUGUCACUCGAUCAGGGGUCAUGAUGUCACUCGAUCAGGGGUCAUGAUGUCACCGAUCAGGGGUCAUGAUGUCACCGAUCAGGGGUCAUGAUGUCGCUCGAUCAGAGGGUCAUGAUGUUCCCUGUCAGGGGCUCAUGAUGUCACCGGUCAGGGGUUCAUGAUGUCACCGGUCAGGGGAAGAUGUUGUCGGGGGGCGGUAUGACCUGUCCACUCCGUCACAGGUGGGGCCGAGCAGCAAUGCUGCGUAGCGACGGUAUUGCACUUGUCCCGGCCUGUGAAGGGGCUAGGAGAUAACCACUUUUCCUCUGAAGGAGCUAGGAGAUUACGUCCUCUCCUCAGGGAAAGAGCUAGGAGAUUACCCUGUCUCCUCAGUGAAGGAGAUAGGAGAUAACCUUGUCUCCUCCCUCCUCGGUAGUGCUCUAGAUGCCUCUUCAAUGCUUACUUGUUUAGUUUCACAGGCUAUAUACACACCAUCUGUUUCACAGGCUAUAUACACCAUCUUUAAGUAGUAGUGUUUACUCUGUUUCACAGGCUAUAUACACCAUCUUUUAAGUAGUAGUGUUUACUCUGUUUCACAGGCUAUAUACACCAUCUUUAAGUAGUAGUGUUUACUGUUUCAUGUUGGAUUUUGCUAAUUGAUCAUGUAAUGUACUUCUGAUUUAUUAAAAUCUUUAACUGCAGCUCAGAUUGCCUCGUCUAGUUUUAAUAUCCAAUAAUAUUGAGCAUGGAGAAGAUGUAAACUGUUCCCUUUUUUUUUUUUUUGCAAAGUGUGGUAUUAAAUAGUGUUUACAAUAAAAUAUUUUAUUACAGCCA